GGCUAGCUGGAAACAAAUUCUGUUACCCAGAGAUUUUAAUUGCAUUUGUGAGUCAGCUGUACUUGGCAGUCCAUAGUUCAGAGUUCUCAGCCAGAGGCUGAGUCUGCGGCUGGACUGCUCUGCAAUUAACACGUCUCAUGACGCAUCUAACCGCAGUGGCAACAAAACAAACACUUUUUAAAUAUGCAAGCGGACAGACAGCAUCAAAAUCUGAAAAUUGUUAAUUUUCAACACUAAAUAUGCAAAUGAUGGCAAAAGUGCUUUAGUUUUAGCUGUCAAAAUAACCAAUUUACUUGAAUGUCACUACAAAUUUCUAAUGUUCGUGUCUAAUUUUAUGCUGCAUUAUUUGGCAGUUUAUUGUUUUGUUUUCGUUUUGGAUUAAUUAACCUUAUUAAUAUGCCAUAAUUUAUUGGAAUUUUAUGGCGCGCGCUAUGUUAAUUAAAUGCACAGCAAAAUACAAGGUACAAUUCGUAACGCAGCACGCAUUAAUAUCAUCAAAAUUCCUAUAGCUCUGUAAUUUUAUGAUCGUGUAUUAAUUUGCUUUUAAUUACAAAAGUGUGUGUGUGUAUGCCCAACUAUGUGAGUGAGUGAGUAUGUGUAAUGGAAUGAUAAAUGAAAUGAUUAAUGAAGGGGCAACUGCUGCUGCUGUUGGCUGGCGCACAAAAGUAUGCUACACUUUUUGCAACAAUGGCAAAGAAUCAAAUCAAAUGGCAUUUGUAUGGAGCUGAUUUUAUUCAAUUCCCCGCAGUGAGCAGGGAGCCUAACAUAUUGGUCAUCAUCGGAUGACAGGGACAAAGGAUGAGCGGACACACACACACAUACACAGGCACACACAUCAAUGCAAUCAAUUACGCAGUGCAUCGCCUUUCAAGCAGGCUGGAUGAAUGCCAAUACCGAAUGGCAACGUCGUGCUGUAGCGCUUGCCAGCAAAGUAGGCGACUGAUGAGCCUGAUGGACUUGUGUGUGUUUGUGUGUGUGUGUGUGUGUGUGUGGGCAGGUGCUGUUGUUGUGCAUGCAAGCCACAAACAGCAGCAUUUCAUUUACGCGAGCCUUUUCAACCCCAGAGAAGCCCUUCGUGACAGCAGGCCAAGCUGCUGGCUGGGCAGUUCGUGUGGCAAGUGACGAGCGUGGAAGCAUUCAACGUUGCUCUUUGUGUCAACGGUGAACAAAGAAAAAUGAGCGACAAGUCAAAUUGAAGGGCCCCCGAGUGUCCUUUGAGUCAAGCUCGUGUGCGCUGACUGUCUGGGCUGUCUGUUUGUGUCUCCUGCAUUAGCCUGGCAUCGACACUUGAUUUAUGCAUUGACGCAGCACACAUCACGUGGUCAGCUUUAAACCAGCCAAGAGAAAGUGAGUGAGAGAGAUUGAGGAAAUGACACAGAAACUGUGCUGGUCUCUCCAUUUCCCCCCCUUCUAUUUGCAGUUGCUACUUCUGCUUCGUCUGCUAUUUGCAUAUACUCGUACUUAUUUUCGUGUAAACAAAAAAAGUUGAGUUUGCUUUUGCCACUUCUGUUUACUCGAGCGCUGCCAAUGGCAUUAUUUUAAAUUGUUUUUUAAAUGGCCAACAAACAAGCACUGAAGAACUGAAAGUGAAUUGUCUGCCGCAGCUCAAAACAAAAAAAAAAAGGGGCAACAACAACAAUAACAAUAACAGAGUUUUUCUAUUACCAAAGGAAAAAAAUGUGUAGCAGACAUUUCGAUUGAUCUGCUGAUUGGCAGAAUUUUAAUGCUCGACUCAA